rnacentral:lncRNA from 1 species
CCACAUCCUUGACACUUGUGUAUAUAUAUAUCCUCUAUACCCUUAAACCACUCCUCAUUACCAACAAUACCCAUAAAAAUAAUCUCUUUUCUCAGUCCUCCUCCCUCAAGAUUUCUGAUAACAACCUAAAAUGGGUCGGAAAAACCUAGAAAUAUUUUUUGUGUUCUUGAUUAUACUUGCUUCAGUUGUGUCCUCUACUCAAGGCCGGAAGCUAUUCAACGCGAAAUAUAAUACAGCUAAGAAGACUCCAUCAUUGGACGAAAGUCUGUAUUUAAAUAUCCUUCCUAAGGGUACAGUACCACCUUCUACCCCAAGCAACAAGGGCCAUUCCGUGCCCAUUGACGAAAAGCUCGUCAAGCGUCACCUUGGAGCGGUCGACCGGAUUCUCGGUUCGGUUCCUAGCCCCGGCGUGGGACACUAGUCUCGUUACAGUUUCUUUAGUUUUCUUCCUUCACAAAUUUGGAUAUUCUUUUAUUGCUGGUUAUAACGGUCAGGUCCUUUACGGAGGAAUUGGCCUCUGUAAUCUACUAUAUUCUUUUAUUUAUGGGAUUAAAUCACGAAAUUUUAAUCCCAUUAGAUUGAGAUAGGUCUUUCAAACGAUUAUUGAUGUCGAAGAGGAGUUUGUAACUAAUAGACCACAGAAAAAUACUAGUUUUCUCGAUUGAUUUGAUUAUGUAUAUUCACUUUAGUUUUAACAUUCUGUUUGUUUGUUUAUAUAAUUAGACUAUUAGUGCAUGUUCUUGUAAAGAUUUUAGAAGAUUUCCAUCCGUACAGAGAACUAUUCCAAGAAUUUUGCCAGAAAUCUCACAUGUAUGAGACCCAUGUUGUGAUAAAAAAUGUCAAAAAAUCUCCCCACCCACUCCUUGCUAUGUCUAUUCUGUAUGGUUUCUGUGUGUGCAAUUUCUAUACACACAGCAAGCUUCAUGUAGAA